CAACAGGGAUUGCCUCAGUAACGGCGAGUGAAGCGGCAACAGCUCAAAUUUGAAAUCUGGCUCUCGGGCCCGAGUUGUAAUUUGUAGAGGAUGCUUUUGGUGCGGUGCCUUCCGAGUUCCCUGGAACGGGACGCCAUAGAGGGUGAGAGCCCCGUCUGGUUGGACGCCAAUCCUCUGUAAAGCUCCUUCGACGAGUCGAGUAGUUUGGGAAUGCUGCUCUAAAUGGGAGGUAUAUGUCUUCUAAAGCUAAAUACCGGCCAGAGACCGAUAGCGCACAAGUAGAGUGAUCGAAAGAUGAAAAGAACUUUGAAAAGAGAGUUAAAAAGUACGUGAAAUUGUUGAAAGGGAAGCGCUUGUGACCAGACUUGGGCUUGGUUGAUCAUCCAGGGUUCUCCCUGGUGCACUCUUCCGGCCCAGGCCAGCAUCAGUUCGCCCCGGGGGAAAAAGGCUUCGGGAAUGUGGCUCCCUCGGGAGUGUUAU
rnacentral:rRNA from 1 species